UUUAGCAUGGAAUAAUGGAAUAGGACGCGCGGUUCUAUUUUGUUGGUUUCUAGAGUCGCCGUAAUGAUUAAUAGGGAUAGUUGGGGGCAUUAGUAUUCAGUUGCUAGAGGUGAAAUUCUUGGAUUUACUGAAGACUAACUACUGCGAAAGCAUUUGCCAAGGAUGUUUUCAUUAAUCAAGAACGAAGGUUAGGGGAUCGAAAACGAUCAGAUACCGUUGUAGUCUUAACAGUAAACUAUGCCGACUAGGGAUCGGGCGUACCUCUUUUUGAUGUGUCGCUCGGCACCUUACGAGAAAUCAAAGUCUUUGGGUUCGGGGGGGAGUAUGGUCGCAAGGCUGAAACUUAAAGGAAUUGACGGAAGGGCACCACCAGGAGUGGAGCCUGCGGCUUAAUUUGACUCAACACGGGGAAACUCACCAGGUCCAGACAUGACUAGGAUUGACAGAUUGAUAGCUCUUUCUUGAUUUUAUGGGUGGUGGUGCAUGGCCGUUCUUAGUUGGUGGAGUGAUUUGUCUGGUUAAUUCCGAUAACGAACGAGACCUUCACGUGCUAAAUAGCCGGACGGGCUCCGGCCCGUCUCGGGCUUCUUAGACGGACUAUCGGCGUCUAGCCGAUGGAAGUUGGAGGCAAUAACAGGUCUGUGAUGCCCUUAGAUGUUCUGGGCCGCACGCGCGCUACACUGACAGGGCCAGCGAGUCUCCUACCUUGGCCGGAAGGUCUGGGUAAUCUUGUGAAACCCUGUCGUGCUGGGGAUAGGGCAUUGCAAUA
rnacentral:rRNA from 1 species